CAGUCGCCGCGGGAAUACGAAGGGUGCAAGCGUUACUCGGAAUUACUGGGCGUAAAGCGUGCGUAGGUGGUGGUUUAAGUCCGUUGUGAGAGCCCUGGGCUCAACCUGGGAAUUGCAGUGGAUACUGGAUCACUAGAGUGUGGUAGAGGAUAGUGGAAUUUCCGGUGUAGCAGUGAAAUGCGUAGAGAUCGGAAGGAACAUCUGUGGCGAAGGCGACUAUCUGGGCCAACACUGACACUGAGGCACGAAAGCGUGGGGAGCAAACAGGAUUAGAUACCCCUGUAGUCCCUGUCUCUUAUAC
rnacentral:rRNA from 1 species